rnacentral:rRNA from 1 species
AGCGAACGUUAGCGGCACGCCUAACACAUGCAAGUCGCACGAGAAAGGGAGCAAUCCUGAGUAGAGUGGCGCACGGGUGCGUAACACGUAGAUAACCUGCCCUUUGGAGGGGGAUAACGUUCCGAAAGGAGCGCUAAUACCGCAUACAGCAAGAGCCGGUUUGCCGGUUUUUGGCAAAGGUAGGGACCCGCAAGGGCCUACCGCCAGAGGAGGGGUCUGCGGCCCAUCAGCUAGUUGGUGAGGUAAUGGCUCACCAAGGCAGAGACGGGUAGCUGGUCUGAGAGGAUGAUCAGCCACACUGGUACUGGAACACGGACCAGACUCCUACGGGAGGCAGCAGUGGGAAUCUUGGUCAAUGGGCGCAAGCCUGAACCAGCGAUGCCGCGUGAGUGAUGAAGGCC